rnacentral:lncRNA from 1 species
CCCAUGUCCCCUGUGGCCCCCUCCCCGACGUCCUGCCAUCUCAUCGGACACUGCUGUGUGCUGGAGCUCAUGCCUGCUAAGAUACGUGCGGAUUUCUCUCCCCAGAUCUUCUUGCAGUUGGGUUCCCACCCUGGCCAGGCUGGGGGUCGGGGGGCAGGGAGGCAGCUUCAGGGGCUCAGCCGGGCCCUGCUCUGUGGUCACCGAUCCCAACAGCACAUCCCUCUGAGCCUCGGUUUCCAGCUGGGCCCAAGAACUCAGCACAGGAGCCCUGGGAAGCAAACGGAAAUCCAGACAACAGGCGAACCUGCCUGCUCCUACCCUAGGUAGGAACGGCAGUCAGGUGAGUCGGCUACACAGCGAGCGGUGCUGUCUUCCCAGGUGUGUUUGUACGGAAUUCUCUCUGCCUGCCUUCCCGGCUUCCCCUGCUGGGCGGGGCGUGGGGGGGACCGCGGCUCCUCCUCGGGAGGGAGAGGGGAUUGGACGCUUUCCAAGUGCUUUCAGCUCAAAACGACCCUGUGCCAGAGCGGUGCAUUCUGGAAUGGCCUCGUGCCCCCCUGCGGUGCCCUGAGUGACACAGGGAUUUGUCAGGUGUCACGAGGUCCCUAACCCGCGGACACUGAGCCAGUCGAGAGGGACCCUGACUGGGGCCAGGCCUGCUGGGCAGCGGGUGCAGCCGCAGCUUGUGGCACCGACACUGGCAGCCCGCACCGGAGCACUGGUCCUAGUCCCUACAGGCCGCUUCGCAUCCAGCUCCCUGCUAAUGCACCUGGGAAGGCAGCAGAGGACGAACCAAGCGCUUGGGUCCCUGCCACCCAUGUGGGAGACCAGGAUGAGGCCCAGGCACCUGGCUUCAGCCUGGCCCAGAUAUGGCUAUUGCAGCCAUUUGGGGAACGAAGCAGUGGCUAGAAGAUUCUCUCUCUUUAGAGAGAGAGAGAUUGUCUUGGGUGGGGCUGACCUAAUCAGGUGAGCGGGUAAAAGGCAUCAUCAUUGCAAAGCCGAAUAAAUCCCCUGCCGACCCUGGAGGAGCA